UACGAAGGGGGCUAGCGUUGUUCGGAUUUACUGGGCGUAAAGCGCACGUAGGCGGAUCGUUAAGUCGGGGGUGAAAUCCCGGGGCUCAACCCCGGAAUUGCCUUCGAUACUGGCGAUCUUGAGUCCGGAAGAGGUGAGUGGAACUCCUAGUGUAGAGGUGGAAUUCGUAGAUAUUAGGAAGAACACCAGUGGCGAAGGCGGCUCACUGGUCCAUUACUGACGCUGAGGUGCGAAAGCGUGGGGAUCAAACAGG
rnacentral:rRNA from 1 species